rnacentral:rRNA from 1 species
UUCGGUCUUAAAAGCAGGAGAGGAGUAAGGGCCUGGGUUAAGACGGGUGCCAGCCGCCCGGUAAUACCUGCAGCUCAAUGGUGGCCGCUAUUAUUGGGCCUUAAACGUCCGUAGCCGGCUGAGUAAAUGCCUGGGUAAAUCGUUGUGGCUUAACCAUACGAAUUCCGGGUAGACUGCUCAGCUUGGGACCGGAAGAAGUUAGAGGUACUCCUGGGGUAGGGGUGAAAUCCUGUAAUCCUGGGGGGACCACCAGUGGCGAAGGCGUCUAACUAGGACGGGUCUGACGGUGAGGGACGAAGCCCUGGGGCGCAAACCGGAUUAGAUACCCGGGUAGUCCAGGGUGUAAACGCUGCUUGCUUGAUGUUAGCUGGGCUCCGAGCUCGGCUAGUGUCGGAGAGAAGUUGUUAAGCAAGCUGCCUGGGAAGUACGGUCGCAAGACUGAAACUUAAAGGAAUUGGCGGGGGAGCACAGCAACGGGUGGAGCGUGCGGUUUAAUUGGAUUCAACGCCGGAAAGCUUACCGGAGGCGACGGUUAUAUGAAGGCCAGGCUGAUGACCUUGCCUGAUUUUCCGAGAGGUGGUGCAUGGCCGCCGUCAGUUCGUACCGUAAGGCGUUCUGUUAAGUCAGAUAACGAACGAGACCCUCGUCCUUAAUUGCUACUGGCAACUUCGGUUGUCACGCACAUUAAGGAGACCGCUGGCGAUAAGUCAGAGGAGGGCGAGGGCAACGGUAGGUCAGUAUGCCCUGAAUCCUCCGGGCUACACGCGCGCUACAAAGGCCGGGACAAUGGGCUCCGACACCGAAAGGUGAAGGCAAUCUCGAAACCUGGUCAUAGUUCGGAUUGAGGGUUGAAACUCACCCUCAUGAAGCUGGAAUCCGUAGUAA